rnacentral:lncRNA from 1 species
UAUUUAAAGUAACAUCAAAAUAAUAAAUAACCAUGAGUGGUCUGGUGAAGCAGGGUAGUAUCAUAGUCUUGAGUGGGGUGGGUUCAAUACUCAUGUGUAGCAUUUUUUUAGUAUUUUAUUUUUCUUUUAGCAUUUUAUUUUCUUUUAGUAUUUUAUUUCUUUUAACAUUUUUUGUUAUGUUUAUGCUUUAUUAUUUUCAUAGUUUCAUUACCAUAACAUAGAUUUGUUGUCUUUUAAUUUCAUCAUUCAUUCAAAACCAUUUUUAAACUAUAAAAAUCAUAUUU